GGUUCCUUCAGCUGUUUCCGAAAUCAUUCUUAAUCUUGGCUGCCUGUAUUAAGUUCGAAUGAUUUAAUUAAUUUGUUGGGUUGCUACUAUAAAAUUCUUCGUUGUGUUAGUGGAUACAUUUUGGGACAUUUAUCGGCUGAUCCAAGUAUCGGGUAAUUAAGUCUUAUGCUGCUCCGUCGCGGUUCUAUUCUUUAUUAUCUAUGUCUUCAUUACUUGAAGGCUGCCUACGGGGCUCUUGGUAAUUGGUUGUCCUUAGCUUCUUCUUGCAAGUUGGGGAGUAAUUCAUUGUUAAUCUUCCAAGUUCCUGCUGUAAGGAUUUCCUUUCUCUCCUUGAUUUGGUAGCAAGUUCCUUCAUCAACGAGCUCUUGUGUCGGACAAGGGACCAAAGAGUGCCAAGGAUUUUGAAACCUACACAAGUGACUUAGCGAUAACCACUCUGCGUGCACACCAAUUUUUGGUAUUCUAGUAUUGGUCAUGGGGUGCGCUUGGAAUGAAAAUGUGUGUGCUCUGCAGUUGUAUCCUUUCUCAGAUGAUGGUAUGGGGUUGUUCUAACAACCACAUUAAAAUUACAAGUGUUGUGGUUUUGCUUUAGACUUCUGUGUCAGUGCUACCAUGCCUUGGUAGUGUGCUAAUCAUAACUUUCUACCAUUGGUUUACCUUUAGCCAAGUAAGACUUCUAUAUUUAUAAACCAUCUAUCUAUUUGGGUUUUUUUCGUCAAGAUCUCUCCAUAUUCAUGAAAGACCUGUACAUGCCUCCUUUGUUAGUUCAUGAGACAUUAAGGUAAAUAUUAUGUUCAUUGCUGUAUUAUCUUAUUAGUGCUUAAGAUCCUGAUGAUGAUGGAAGAGCAGUUGUUGCAGACACCUUAAUUCCUACAAUCCUACUGCAUCCUCUGUUGUUUCUCUUAGUGGGGAAAUGUUUUAUAUAUUCUAUAGUGAUGCUACUAUGGGAUAUCUUGCUUACAUACCGGUGUUAGGAUAAGUACCGCAAAUGCCUAUGAUCUGUUUAUAGAGGCCGCCAAUUUUUUGGAUAUAGGUGAUGCAGAUGACUGGAGUUAUUGGAGGUUUACUUCCAAUACCAAUUACCUUAAUAAUGGUAAUUUGUCCCUUAUAAGACACGUACAACAAAAACAAACAUGAUGUGAAGCGGUGGGAGUUAUGAAGCAGAAGAACAGGCAGUGGCUCUGGCAGACAAAACAAAAGCCUUUGAAGUAUAUGUGGCAAAACAUCACCCAUAAUUCACAAGUGACUACAAAGCAUACUUUUGCAACAAUGUAAUUUAUUGCCGGUGUGUUUAUCUUCCUGGAUGCUGGUAUGGACUCGCUGGAAGUUGAAGAAUGAUAUAUUAUAAAUGGCAGGAUCCGAACCCCAAGCCAACCCAGAUUGACCAGUAGCUAUUGGCGAUAUCUUUUCUUUGUCGCUACUGCUCUGACUUGACAUGUUUGCUUCAAGGGUGUCACACAGUAAAUUUUGAGAGUGCUCUGUAUCAAACUUUUCCCAUUCGGAACUGGAAUCGUGGAUACCCAUUUCGUCAGAUGAGUGUUGCAUUGGUGAGAGUCCUGCUUCCUUGUCUUCUGUUAAUACAUAACAAACUUUCUUUUAAUUUUUAAUCUUUCCAAGGAAAAUGAAAUAAAAUUGAUUAUGGCGGUUAGAUAGUACUUGUGAUUUCAUGAUUAAUUUUUUGUGUACCUAUUUCUGUUGCAUUAGUGACUUUAGUCUCGUAUUUUGCAGUAUCCAAACCCGAACCCCACCCUUGCCCUGAUUGAGCAGUACCUAUUGAUGAUAUCUUUUCCUUGUCACUACUGUUCUGAGUUGACUGGUUCCCUGCAAGGGCGUCACGCGGUAUAUUUUCAGGGCGCUCUGGAUCAAACAUUUCCUGUUUGGAUUCGGAAUCGUGGAUACCCAUUUUGUCAAAGGAGUGUUGUUCUUCUGAGAGUCCUGCUUCCUUGCCUCCUAAUCAAUUUAUAAUAACUUCAUUUUAAUAUUGAAUAAGGAAAACGAUAUAAAGUUGAUUUUGCGGAGUAAUUAAUACGAUCUGAACCUGAACCAAACCCUGACAGAGUAGUGGCUACUAAUGGUAUCUUUUCUGUGUAGCUACUGCUCUGAGUUGACUGGUUUCCAACUAAGGUUUCAGAUGGUAACUUUUCAGGAUGCUCUGGAUCGUACUUUUCCUGUUCGGAUCCGGAAUCAUGGAUAUCCGUUUUGUCAAACGAGUGUUGCGCUUUUUGCAGGAUCUACACCCGAACCCAACCCUAACUCAGAUGGGUCAUCCUUCAUCAUUUCUGUCGAUUUCCCAGUAAUGCUCUUCAAUCCUCCAUCAGUUUCAUCUAGACCGCAAUUUUUGAACGUGUCAAAUGCAUUUGUUCCUAUCAAAAGUGAAAAUAGGCAAGUCAAGUAUUAAAAAAACCAAGAAAAUGAAUUGUACAUUAUGGUUUAUUAUAUAUAAGAGUUAUACCA